GCAAAGUAUUUUUUUUUAAUUAAGACUUGAUUGGAGAACUAAAUGGAUAUAAAUAAAAAUGUCUAUUUAUUUAACUUAUUUUUCAGGAGGACUGGAAGACAUUUGGGUGUUGAGUCAAAUUUAAUGGAAAAAUUCAGUGCGAACCUGCAAUGUUUAUAAAUGGAGGGCAGUAAAACUUGAAAAUAUGCCGCACAGCUAUAUGUUUUUAUUAGUGCAAAAAAAAAAGUAGUGCAUGUCUCCUUUCCAGGGAAUUAUAACAUUCUCCUUAAAACUUCCUGAAUGAAGAGUGACUGCAUAUACAAUUUAGGCAGUUCCUAUGGAAAAUUGCAUUGCUGGUUUUACACAAGUGCAAACUAUAACAACUUAUACACACGUCUAACAUGUCUAAAAUACAUUAAAUUAGAUAAGUAAAAAAAUUAUCAGUUUGGAAGUCAGGAAGUAUUUUUAAAGGAAUAAGAAGAUAUAAGAAUAUGGCUGAUAUUAUAGUAGAUUUGGAGGUGAACUGCAGUAAGACAGUAACACAAAAAAGAAAAAUAACAAAAAGGAAACAAUUUAAAGGGAAAUAUUUAGUCUUCAGUUAUAGAAAUAACGAAUGUUUACAAUAUCAAACCUCUUAUCCACCGAGCCCAUAAAAUUGUCAAUUAAAAACAGAUAAUAAAAAAAUAACAUGUAUCAUUUUGAAUCAAAUUUCAAAUCAGUAUGAAGUAUAGGUUUUGCUCAUUGUGAAAGAUCUUCCGCUGUUUACAGCUGUUUACCUUCUAUUUCAUUCCAUGUCUGAUGGAAAUCUGAUAUGAAAUAACAACUAAUUAACAAAAAGUGACACCUUGAUGGCGGUUAAAAUUUGUAGAGCAGGAACUGCUUUAUCCAGUAUUUGCGAUCGGUUAAUAGUGGCAUCCGUGUUGCUCUAUCGUAGGUUUUCUGUUAUAUUUCGGUAUCUUCGUUUUUUGUUUAAUCAAUGUCGUAGUCUGAUUCAACCAUUUUAAUGAAUCUAUCUAUUUAUCUGCAAUGGCCUGCUGAUCCAUGAUAACACAUUAAUUGAUACAUUGUUUCAUUUUCAUCUACAAAACAGGUGUGUGUUCUGAUCUUGAUAAAUCGGCAAAGGAUUCUAACAUCCUGAAACACGUGUUGUGUGAGCAUGAUUUAAACACGUUGUUACUUUUUUCGUUAUAUAUGGAAGCAUAAUAUUAAAUAUAAGAUGAAGUGUGUAUUAUAUUUGAAUGCCACUUUUGUUGCAGUAUACCCUUUAGUGAAAUACAAGAGACUAAAACAAAGCACGCAUGAAUAUAAGAAUAUAAUAGGAGCCCUAUGUCGUACGUCUUUAGUUCUCAUAACUGUUGUUGUUCUAUGAUACUUCGUAGUCUUAUGAAUACAAAAUGUUUAUUAAAUUUGAAACUGUUCAAAAUAAUUACAUGGUUUUAAGGUUACAUUUAUGAAAAUGUAAC
rnacentral:lncRNA from 1 species